GAUACAUCCUUUCUCUCUUCCCUCACAAAAAAUUUCCUUCUCCUCUUGCAAAAUGGGGGAAGAGUUUGGAUCUAAGAACUAACACUACUACUACUCAUAGUCACACACAGAGCCUAGAAAAGAAUCUCCCUCUCUUUCUUUCUCUAACAACAAUGUCUCUCACUGAUGGUGACUUGGAUCUUAGGUGAGUACAUGUUUGCCGAUGUGGAGAAUUUGGAGCAUUACGCUAAGUAUCUUAACCAAUCGCUCAUCACGUUUGGUUUCCCAGCUUCGCUUGAUCUCUUCACAAAUGACCCUGCCAAAGUGGAGAUCGAGGCUGGAAGGUCAACUACAAGUCAAAGACAGGGAGAUAUUGACUAUUACUAGAACGGUGGCUAAAAAUUCUCAAACUCUGAAGGCCCAAAAUGAGAAGCUACAAUAAGAGAGAUUUGAAUUUCAGAAAAUGGUUAUUGGUAAUCAGGUUAGAAGUUUGAUCUACUUUGCUUAUUGUGGUGUCUUGUUUGGAUGGCCCUACUUCAAAAUGGGUAAGCCUUUGAGUCUUGUGAAUUUGACUAUUGAAUGGUGUGAAUGCAAGUAAAGACUUAUAGUUCUUUGUAUUUGGGACACAUCCUUAUGUCAUACAAUUUAUUUUUAAUGUUGAAAGGUGGACGCUCAUGAGUAAAAAAAUCAAUAACUUAUGGUAUAGAAUGCUGAUUUAGGAGCAUUAUUGAGAUUAAUGCAGGAAAAUUGUCUGAAGGAUAAUUUAGAAACAUUGACGAAUUUGUGAAGGUGAGGUUGAAGUGAAUGAUGCAGAGUGAGAGAUGGAAAUGAGGACGAGAACAGGAUCACUGACAUUUUACUUUAUUUUGCUCCGCGUGAUGAAAUAUUUAUUUAUUAUUCAGUGUCUGUCUUAUUUAUUGUCUCUUUAUUUUUCUCAACCUUUCUUAGACUUUUAUUGGUUCUCAUUGAGUAGCUGAUACCAUAUGCUAAAUCUUUAAUUUUUGGCUA